AUCCUUAUCAAUUUUUACUUCAUUUACCACUAACGCAAAUAAGGUGCCCCCACCACCAAUUUCUUUCUCAAGUGACUGCAUAGUAAUUACUGUUGAAGAGGAUUCCUUUUGACCAUGAAGCACGCGAGACUUUCCUUGCCAAUUAAAUUUCAUUGUCAUGUUGCGCCAAUCACACAACACAGGGCCCAAUUCCACCAACCAUUGCACGCCUAGUACAACAUCUAACCCUUGUAAUGGAAGUGAAAACAAUGUGACAGCAAAAGAAAAACCUUGGAUCUCCAGUGGUACAGUCUCAUGCUUCUCUUGGCAAGAUAGUUGGCCUCCAUCUGCAAUCUUCACAUUGAAAUUAUCUGUUGAAGUUACUGGCAAAUGAAGUUGUCGAGCAAUGCGAUGGCUCACAAAAUUGUGACUAGAGCCACUGUCUACCAGCACCGUAACUGGAUGUUUGCCUAUAAAUGCCUAUAACUUCAUUGUACGUGGCCCUUUCCAUCCCGAAAAGGCAUGGAGAGUGAUCUCGGCUUGCUCAUCUACACCUUCCUGCUCUAAUUCUUUAAUUAUUGGCCCAGAGUUGGAAUUAGAUUCGCUUUCCUUGACCUCUCCUCCUUCGAUGAAGAAGAGUUGUGGCACUUUACAUUUAUGGCCAUGGGUGAAUCGAUCAUUACAAUUGAAGCACAGAGCUUUCUCUUGCCUCCGCUGCAUCUCUUCCCAUGAUAUGCGCUUAACCGGAGAGCCAACAACCUGCCUUGGUGCAGUAGGUGCUGUUGCAGGUGGGGGAGCUGUGAUAAUUCGUGUUUGCGGGAUAGUUCGCGUCACUUCGACCCGUGCUUGCCUUCUUUUCCUCACGAGCUGGUCAUCCUUCAUCCUGGCCACCCCUAUAGCAUCGCGUAGAGUCUUCGGCUUAGCCAUUCGUACUUCGACCGCUAUGUCCUCACGUAGACAUCCAAGGAAAGUGCCGACUAGAGCCGAUUGGGGCCAGUCAACUCUGUUCGCCAACCUUUCAAACUCACACUGAUAAUCCCGGAGAGUCCCAGUUUGUUUUACUCUGGAUAGUGCCUCGUCAAAGCACUCGUACUCUGUAGGGCCGAAACGAGUCAUGAGUUCGCCUCAAAUAAACUCCAGGUAAUCUCCAUCCUUUCAUCUCUUUGUACCCUCUUGAGCCAUUGCCACCAUUGGUUAGCUUUUCCCUCCAGGUGGAAGGUUGCCAAGGCAACCUUCUGGUCCUCUCCAGAUUCCUGAAAUUCAAAGUAUUGAGAGACUCAACUAAGCCACUCAGUAGGAUCAUCACCCGAGAAUUUCGGAAAGUCCAUCUUAGUGAAUCUUGUGUGGUUGAAGUGGUGG
rnacentral:lncRNA from 1 species